rnacentral:rRNA from 1 species
GAUGAACGCUGGCGGCGCGCCUAACACAUGCAAGUCGAACGAUUAAAGCACCUUCGGGUGUGUAUAAAGUGGCGAACGGCUGAGUAACACGUGGGCAACCUGCCCCUUUCAUUGGGAUAGCCACGGGAAACCGUGGAUAAUACCGAAUACUUCGAGACUUCCGCAUGGAAGACUCGAGAAAGCUCCGGCGGAGAGGGAUGGGCCCGCGGCCUGUUAGCUUGUUGAUGGGGUAACGGCCUACCAAGGCAAUGAUGGGUAGCUGGGUUGAGAGACCGACCAGCCAGAUUGGGACUGAGACACGGCCCAGACUCCUACGGGAGGCAGCAGUGGGGAAUCUUGCACAAUGGGCGAAAGCCUGAUGCAGCGACGCCGCGUGCGGGAUGAAGGCCUUCGGGUUGUAAACCGCUUUCAGCAGGGACGAGGCGAAAGUGACGGUACCUGCAGAAGAAGCCCCGGCUAACUACGUG